rnacentral:rRNA from 1 species
AGGACGAACGCUGGCGGCGUGCUUAACACAUGCAAGUCGAACGGAAAGGCCCUUCGGGGUACUCGAGUGGCGAACGGGUGAGUAACACGUGGGUGAUCUGCCCCGCACUUUGGGAUAAGCCUGGGAAACUGGGUCUAAUACCGAAUAGGACCAUGGGAUGCAUGUCCUGUGGUGGAAAGCUUUUGCGGUGUGGGAUGGGCCCGCGGCCUAUCAGCUUGUUGGUGGGGUUAAGGCCUACCAAGGCGACGACGGGUAGCCGGCCUGAGAGGGUGUCCGGCCACACUGGGACUGAGAUACGGCCCAGACUCCUACGGGAGGCAGCAGUGGGGAAUAUUGCACAAUGGGCGCAAGCCUGAUGCAGCGACGCCGCGUGGGGGAUGACGGCCUUCGGUUGUAACCUCUUUCAGUAGGGACGAAGCGCAAGUGACGGUACCUACAGAAGAAGCACCGGCCAACUACGUGCCAGCAGCCGC